CCAGUCCAAAACGGUUCUACGGCGGCAUUUUCUCUCUUUCUCCCGCCACAAUCACCGCUGCUUCUCAUCUCCGAUCAUCCGCGUAACGACGGCAAGUUCUUCAUCUCCGCCGUACUAAGAGACGUAGCUUUGAUUUGGUUUGUAAGCUCAGUGUUGUGGUGAUGGAAUAAUUCAGAGCUUCAUUUCUUCUGAAGUAUGUCUAUGGUUGUAUU
rnacentral:lncRNA from 1 species